ensembl:lncRNA
CUGAGACAUUCCUCACAUUUUACAGCGAGAAAAGUAUAAAAACAGUGUUUGCUGUCUGUUGCAUACAGUAAUACGACCAUUCUCCCUACAACAUUCUUAAAAUCAAGAUGAAAUCAAAUUUGACCCUAUUUGCUUUUUUAAAUAAAAUAUAAUAUAUACACUUCUGUUCAAAAGUGUGGGGUCAGGUUUCUUUUUUUUUAGAGAAAUAAUACUUUUUAUUCAGCAAGGAUGCAUUAAAUUGUUUAAAAGUGACAGUAAAGACGUAUUAUGUUUCAAAUGGUUUCUGUUUUUAAUAAAUGCUGUUGCUUUCUAUUCAUCAAAAAAAAAAUAAUAAUAAUAAUUAAGCAACGGUAUUAAAUAGCCAAAUGGAUAUGGCCUUCUUUCAAAAAUCUUACUGACCCCAAAUUUUGAACGGUAGUGUGCAAAUAAUAUGUAAUAUAAAUAUACUUAACAGGAAUUUGCUUAUAUAAUAACUUAUCAUUAACAGUUCAUAAUCAGUUGUUUAUAUUGCACUGAGCUCAGUCUUCCUGCUUUUACAGUUUUGUUAUUUUAACAUUCUAAUAUAUAUAACUUUAUUUUGUCAAUGUGUGUGUGAGUCAGUGUAUUCAUUAGCACUGGAGAGUUCGCUGCAUUCUCUGCGUGAGGAGUUACAGACAGAGGUUACUGAGAUGUUGGCUUGCUUCAGGAAACACAGCUGCACUGCCUCUGUGUCUCCAGGACAGCUGGUGUUGCCUCAGUUUCUGAAAGUCGUGCCUGUCUACAUUAACAGUCUGUGCAAAAGUGAAGUGCUGCUGCCUGAGCUGCGGAGCUCUGUACAUCAGCGUCUACGACUGCGUAACCUCCAUGGACUCCAUGGACACGCUGAGCACUGCUUCCCAGUUCUACCCACUUAAAGUGCCUCUGUCUGUCUCGGCUGAUGAUGCCAACAUGCCAUCAUUAGGGGAAGCCAUGCGCUGCACUAUCUCUAGUGUGGAUCCAGGGGGUCUGUAUCUGAUCUACUGCCCACUGGCACUGAUCCUUUGGGUGGGCAGCUGUGUGCCUCCUCAUACUCUUCUACAGCUUUUCAACACCAACUCCUUCUACCUCACAUCUGGAGAGGUGAGGCAGGGACACAUUGAGUUGGCGUUUACAUUAACAUUUACUCAUUUAGCAGAGUUUAUCUAAAGUGAUGGACAAAUGAGAACAAGUCGUAGAAGCAGUUCAUCUAAGAGAGAAUCUCAGAGUUGGAUACAUGUUUUAAAUGAACACUUUAAAAUCUAAUCAGCUGUUUUCUACCAUAAUAGACUACUAGAUAAUGGGUAAUUGACAAAUAAGGUGUCCAUGAACUGCAUAUUGGAUAAGAUGUGGUAAGAUGCCUCCCACACCACCUCGAUUAAUUUGAUCAAUCAAAUCAGUUUUAGAGUAUCCUUAGAGUCACUGAUCCUUCAGAAGUCAUUCUAAUAUGAUUAUUUUGUGCUCAAAAAACAUUAGGGUUUACUAUCACUGUUGAAUAAGAAGCAAUAUUCUCAUCUGUGUUCUAUCAGCUUUGACAUUUAAAUAUGCAUAUUUUUAAUAAUUACCCCCGGACAUUUUUUUUUUACUUUAUAAAGGCCAUUUUUUUCCUCUAAUCUUAUUAAAUGUGUGCUUCAUCUAUUAUUUUAAAUUCUUAAAUUUGUAUUUGUUGUAUAUAUGUUUUAAUUUUUUUAUAUUUAUAAUAAAUGUUAGAAAGAAUUAUAUUUUUAAUGAUAC